AUGCUCAAAAUUCUCCAAGCCAGGCUUCAGCAAUACAUGAACUGUGAACUUCCUGAUGUUCAAACUGGUUAUAGAAAAGGCAGAGGACCCAGAGAUCAAAUUGCCAACAUCCACUGGAUCAUGGAAAAAGCAAGAGAGUUCCAGAAAAACAUCUAUUUCUGCUUUAUUGACUAUGCCAAAGCAUUUGACUAUGUGGAUCACAAUAAACUGUGGAAAAUUCUGAAAGAGAUGGGAAUACCAGACCACCUAACCUGCCUCUUGAGAAAUCUGUAUGCAGGACAGGAAGCAACAGUUAGAACUGGACAUGGAGCAACAGACUGGUUCCAAAUAGGAAAAGGAGUACGUCAAGGCUGUAUAUUGUCACCCUGCUUAUUUAACUUCUAUGCAGAGUACAUCAUGAGAAAUGCUGGGCUGGAAGAAGCACAAGCUGGAAUCAGGAGAAAUAUCAAUAACCUCAGAUAUGCAGAUGUCACCACCCUUAUGGCAGAAAGUGAAGAGGAACUAAAAAGCCUCUUGAUGAAAGUGAAAGAGGAGAGUGAAAAAGUUGGCUUAAAGCUCAACAUUCAGAAACCGAAGAUCAUGGCAUCUGGUCCCGUCACUUCAUGGGAAAUAGAUGGGGAAACAGUGGAAGCAGUGUCAGACUUUAUUUUGGGGGGCUCCAAAAUCACUGCAUAUGGUGACUGCAGCCAUGAAAUUAAAAGACGCUUACUCCUUGGAAGAAAAUUUAUGACCAACCUAGAUAGCAUAUUCAAAAGCAGAGACAUUACUUUGCCGACUAAGGUCCGUCUAGUCAAGGCUAUGGUUUUUCCUGUGGUCAUGUAUGGAUGUGAGAGUUGGACUGUGAAGAAGGCUGAGUGCCAAAGAGUUGAUGCUUUUGAAGUGUGGUGUUGGAGAAGACUCUUGAGAGUCCCUUGGACUGCACGGAGAUCCAACCAGUCCAUUCUGAAGGAGAUCAACCCUGGGAUUUCUUUGGAAGGAAUGAUGCUAAAGCUGAAACUCUAG
rnacentral:lncRNA from 1 species